rnacentral:rRNA from 1 species
CUCGUAGGCGGUUUGUCGCGUCUGCCGUGAAAGUCCGGGGCUCAACUCCGGAUCUGCGGUGGGUACGGGCAGACUAGAGUGAUGUAGGGGAGACUGGAAUUCCUGGUGUAGCGGUGAAAUGCGCAGAUAUCAGGAGGAACACCGAUGGCGAAGGCAGGUCUCUGGGCAUUAACUGACGCUGAGGAGCGAAAGCAUGGGAGCGAACA